UCAUGUCAAAUCAUGCAGAAAAUUUUUGUGGAAUAACAUUCACCCCCCGAGGAGCUGAAUUCUGAAACUGAUCUCUUGACCCAAACAGUCUCAGUGACCCUUAAUUAUGCGACGAUAUCAACAGAACAAUCAUUCUCCCAUUUCCAUGGCAACAGUAGCAACCAACAGCAAAGCGAUCAAGGUCAGGCAUAUAAACUGAGGAGGAGAAGUCAUUUUCUGUGUAAUGGUUCAUAUGAGCUUGAACUGCAGCAGAGGCAAAUAAAUAGCUUUAUCCUUGCUUGAUCUCCUGUCUCAAAUGUACACAAGGGGGAAAAAAAACAGGACUGCAAAGAUUGCUGGAGCCCAGCUGCAAUCCCUCUGCUCCUGGGCUCUGCCGGCAGCUGCUGCUUCAGAGGGAAAUGCAAACUGCACAGAGGCGGUGCUGCAACGUGAGGAGCUUGAUUUCUUAUUGAACUGGCAGUAAAGAAGCCAGGCAGCACAAGGCUUUAGUGUUUAUCAAAGCCAGUGUCAUGGCUGAUGCUGUAUUACCUCCAAGUGCUGUGCCUCUGCCUCCUUUGGCUUUUUGGGACAGUCUCAAGCCCUUUUCUUUAGCAAGAUGCUGCUGCACUCAGUCAACUCUCCUCCUUCCAGCAGUUUCUGUGAGGUGCAUCACUCAUGCUGUUUGAAGCCAUGUUCAACGAACACAAUUCCUUACACAUAGUGAGAAACUGUGAAGAAAAGGAAUUGCUGGAAGUAGAUUUGGCCUGUCACACUGCUCUGUCUAAAGGAUGGCUCUCCUUCAGCAAAUGGAACAAGCUAUUUUCUUUUUCAUUAGAGCUCACAAAAGCAGGUGCUUCCUGUCUCUGAGGGCUGCACUGCAAACACCUGCCACCCAGAAAGGCAUAGAAAGGAUUUUCUACUGCUGCGUAUUUUGAAUCCCUGCAGACUUUCAGAAGAGUUUACAUAUUGUAACUUGCUCCUCAGCUUCCUUGUGGAAGGAGAUAAAAAGAAGAGACAAAUUCUCUAAUGGUAUCACAAAGAGGUGGAAUUUAGUUACAGAGGAGAUUAUGGUAUCGCUUUGGCAGGAGAGCUCUUGUGAGAGCUUCAAGCAGUGUCAUGAUUGACAAGUACAUUCUGUGAAAAUGAACAGCUGGGAAUAAUCCUUAGAAUGAGGAGUCUUUGGACACAAAACAGGAAUGGAAACACAAGAAAAAAAUGCAAUAAAUACACAGGAUCUCACAGAAUAAUGGCUGAUGCUAAAGCACCAAAGGUAUCAGCACUGACUCCCAAGAUUUGUAUCCCAGGCGGAAGGUGACUGGGCUGAAAGGCUGGGGGAGUGUUUAUAAACAAAGCAAAAUACCGAGGCAGAGUCGUGGCACGGAAUGGAUCAGUGAUUAAAUGGAUGAGCAAUUUGCCACGGCACUCUCGGUGCUGCAGAGGUGUAAUGGACGGCUUUGCAAAGUGCUUUGGAAUGGCCAAUUACUCGAUGAAACUCUACAGAUGUCUGCAGCACCAGAGCUGCUGGAGGACAGCCCUCUCAGAUUUGCACCUGUCAAAGGGAAAUGCUUUCUGUAUAGCUUUGUUGUUUUCCAAAUAGCCAGAGUAAGGAAUAGAUUCGCAUUAAACCUGCAGACUCUGUGUUCAGUUUCAUGUGAAGGGGUUUGUGAUACAUUAAAAAAUGCAGAUGGAACUAACACAGCAGCUUACAUGACUUACUGUGCUGGGAUUGUCUUGAAGCCCUGUUUUGCUCCCAUUCACUGCAGCUACUGCCAUUUGUUCCAAUUUUCAGUCAUUAAUUUAACUAAACAUUAAACAUACUUUUCCAAUGGAGAACUGUUUUACUAUUUCACUGAGUGAAGAUUGAGGGACGAAGAAAAUAAUAAACCUCAACCUAAAUGAAAGAAAGAACAGGGUAAAAGGCUAAGAAAUAUUUUUAAUUUUGCUGUAAUUGCUUUCUCCAUGGAUGAUUAUGAUAGCUAUCACUUUCGGUUCACUGAGUGCUGAAGUGUACAGUUUAUAAAAAAGACAGAGAUUUUUCCAAAUCAUUGGACCAUUUCAGAGUAGGCAGUGAGAAUGUAUUCAAUAAGAGUUGGACUUGGCAGUUUACUCAAGAAAAGUUAAUGAAACUGUCUCUUCUGGACAAUGGAAUGCAGAAGUGAACUGGCUGGGAAAUCACAGGGGGAAGGCUAAACGUGGUGUCUUUGCUUCUAAACCAAAACCACUGUUCCUGCAACAGAGAUGAGCUGGGCAUUUCUUCCUCUGCUACCAUUAACAUCAGUCAGUGCAAAACAGAUCUUUGAGAAUUCUUUCUGUUACACUUUAACCCUUGCACUCGAGGGAACUCAGGCAGUCAAAUUAUUACCUGUGGUAAAUGUAAUCAGGCAAGAGUUCUCCCUGUGGGGAACGAAAUGUGCACACUUCUAACACUGUCACACUGGGAUCUUCUCUCACUGUAACAGAGAAGGAACUUCCCAUGCAAAAAGCAAUGAGACUUUAAAAGGGUAGGGCAGUAAGCAAAAAGCUGCGUAUUUAGGCCCUUAUAAGCCAAUGAAUGCGCUGAGUAAAGUCUGUAGAUGCAGCAGAAAUAAGUAAGAAAAAGAGUGCAAAUGGUUCAUAACUCAGAAAUGUAAUUAUGUGCCUUUUCAAGCACAUGAGCAAUUCCAUUAAACUAAUCUGCUUUAAUUGCAUUAAGCUUAGAGAGGCUAUUCAUAUGCUUAAAAUCAAACAUAUGAUUAGUUAUGUCCCUAAAAUAAGAAUGGAUAAUUCAAACAAAUGCUGUAUGUAUGCAUUUAAAUGUUUCAAGGUAUUAGAUUCAGCAUUCUAUAAACUAAAACAUUUAAAUUCGCUUUUUGGCAGAAAGUCUGUUCCCUGGAUGCAAAACAUCCUCAUUAAGCCACAACUGAAUUAUUGCUCAAAAUUAUUUUGCUGGGAGUCAAUAGCUAAUCCUCUAAUAAGAGAUUCAAGUAGAAGCAAUCACAGCUAAAGGAAAAGUUCAUAUUCUAUAUGUGUGUUCAAUGUGCUUCAAAAACAAUACAAAAAGCAUGUUCUUAGGUAAAUUCAAGUAAUAAAUAGGAGAUGAUAAUAAUUCUUUGCUCAGCUCUUUUCAGUAAACUGCUCUUGCAGAAUUAAAGUUUCAGACACUAAAAAAGGAGCUAUUUUCACACACAUAGAAAAAUUACACUAAAUACUUGCUAUUCAGACUGUCACAGGAGUCUAUUAUGCAUUAAUUAGUGUCUCUGAUCAUAACCUGUUUAAUUAUAUUCAUUUUGUCUUAAGUUACUGGGUAUUUUGCAGUUUAUAUAUCAUAAAAGCUUACUCUUUUAUGUUGCUUCUUAAAUUCAUUUUAGGGGCACUAUUUUUAUUUACUUUAAACAAACAAAUGACCACAUCAGUGGCUGUGAAAGUAGAACAAGAUGUUCAGCAGGAUGCUCUCUGACGUCUCCUGUGUGACAAGCAACAUCUGAACCUGAAGAGGUUGAUAAGCCAAUAACUGCACUUUGUUCUGGGGGAAAUAUGAAUGGGGAAGAUGAAUAAUAAAUUAAUUUUAUGCCCAAAAAAUGAA